GAUCUCGGAUGGGCUCAAAUCCCCGGAGCCAGUCGUACAUUUAGUGAGCUUCAAGGGCUUCUCCUCUGGCGGCGCGUGAGAGAGACGUUACUUUGAAGGGUUUGUCGGCUUAAGCAUAUCGUCCGGUGUGCGGCUUUCCAUCACAAGAAAUAUGCUGCAAAGUUCAUGAAAUGUGGACUUCUGAAAUAAGGGGUAGUGUUUAGUGAUCCCUUUUAAUAAUGCUGUCGAAGUAGCAUUUAGCUCUUUGUUUUGAAAUUAACGAAGCAUUUUGUUUUUUACUUUUCUGCGAAGUGCUCUCAAAGAAUUCCCCAUGUUGCACCGAAUUUAAAGAGUCGCAGAAGGUUUUUUUUUUUAUUUAAAACAGCAUCAUAAUAAUAAUCAGAGUUAAAGAAAUACUAUAAAGAGAUCAUUAAAGAAUACUUGAACUUGUAGCCUAUCAGCCCUCAAAUAAGUUAUCGCGAUUUCCUAGACUGCCUCGUAGCGUCUUUUCUGGAAAUAGUUUCAAUCUAUACAGUUGGAAGUUGGAGCUUGAACGGAGGAGGAGGCAAUAAAUGGAUGCUCCAUGAUCAGUGAUGUGCUUCAGUUGUGGGAGAAGGAGGACAAAACAGCGGGCGAAGACGGAGGCUGUCCCCGUUUAACCCCAGCCGUCACACAGCCGUGUUUGUGACAGAAGAAUGAAGAAUUCAGAAUCAGGGACUGCUGGGCUACAAGAGGGGUGAGCGACACGAGACGGACCCGGAUCCAUCGCGUGGCCCGACCCACCAGGCAGAGCCGGACGCUGGGCCGAGCGGUCUUAUCUCUGGCGCGGAGGUUCGGCCGGGGGAGCAGGGGGCUCCUGGCCGCAGCACGGGGAUGGGGGGGCGCCGCUCGCCUUGCGGGGACGGCAUUGGCGGGCCCGGCGGACACGGCGGUGCUCCUCCUGUUCCCUGAGACCCUAACUCGUGAGCUCUGUCAACCAAAAAUCACGGGUUAGGCUCUUGGGACUCGGGCGGAGGGCACGGGCGUCUCUGGACAUCGGCCAUCUUUCGAGGGUGGAGCUGACACGGGGGGUUGUGGCGGUGGCAGCGACAGCGGCAAGGCAGACAAAGAGCGAGACUGCGAAGCAGGCGACGAGAGAGAGCUUGUGAUGGCGCUCAACUUUCUGAAGCUGCUAGCCUCCCGCUAACGUCUUCAGAUCUGCCGCUAAUAUGUCUCCUGAUGCAUCUGUGCAUUUCGAAAUCUGGGAACAUGAAGCAUCUAAAGACAAAACCAGGGACUGAGUGCAAUUCCUGUACUACUUCUGUGUGUCAUGUCCAACUUAGCCUGCUUAAGUAUAUUUACAAGCAGCCGUACAUGUGGAUGCUGAUAAUAAAAUAACUUUAAUAUCCACGUUCUGAUUAUAGUAGACUUCAUAAACUGCUGAUGCUGUGCAGCCACGCAUGCACAGCCAGGGCAUGCUGCAGUAACGUUGCAUGCUGCAGUAACGUUGCAUGCUGCAGUAACACGGCUUUUAUUAACUUAUGGACGUGUUUUGCAGCGGUUUUCAAAAAAAUUGUAAAUAAUGCGUUUAAGAAAAGCGAAUCAUUUGGGGACUUUAUAAGCGAAUGCCAAUGCGAUUCAGAUGUCAUGCAUUCAAACCCGUGUACUGCUAGCCAUCUGGUAACGAUUAGUUAGCGCUGACAAAAUUGGUUUAAGGAAUCAAGUUUAUUUUAGUGCUGUGUAACAUUCUGAAGAAUCUGUGUGUGCACACUGCAGGGGGAAGAUACAAGUCUAUUUUCGACAGAGUUUUGCUACCUCGGUUUUUAAUUGGUUUCUGUGAACGCUGAUAAAGUCGAAGUAAUGUCUUACAUUAAAAAUAUUUAUAAUUAAGGUUGAUAUUUCAAAGCAGCACAUUCAUUGUUCAUUUUGUCACUUUUACCAAUUCGUACAUAAUGCCUUUUGGAAUCAGCCACACUCUGCAAUCAUUUUUAUCACAAGGAUAAGAAGUGUGGAUUUUGUGACUAAAGCGUACCUGAAAGAAAGGCUAACCUGCGUAUAUGUCAGCUGGAAGUCGGAUGUCGCCACAUUUUUGAACCUGUGUUCUGCUUUGCUGACACAGACCGUGGCCUGUGAGAAACACCAGGGCCCAUGAGACAGACUGAGAAAGUCUUGGGGGGGGGGGGGGAACGUAGGACUGAAGAGAGAAGAAAGGUUUGGUCUUUGAAAUUCUAUAACCCUUCAGUUUUUACAGUAGAUAAUUAAUUUUGAAUAUCUUUUUCUCACUGUUUUCGCAGCAACACACACUCACUUUACAAUGCGGCGAGCUCCUCUGUCCAAAUGUUCUUCUCGUUCUCGAUAUUGCGAUGGUCGUACCUGUAAUGAUGUGCUUUGCCACAUCAGUUUAUUGUAGAUUUGGACACUGCUUCAUACGUCAGGUGUCGCUUUAGUAACGUCGGACUAUGUGUCACUCAUUCACAGAUCUGAGUUUGGAACUCAUUUUUGACCGAACACAUAAAUAUACACAAAAUUAAAAUACCAGCGUCGUCAUUUUGGACAGAAGUCUUGUGUUUCUGUAAAUAUGAAGGUAUGGAAAAUGAUCUCUUGUCUGGCUGCCUCGUUUUCAUACUCUCCUUAUAACCUUAACCUGCAAAAAACACUGCAUAUUGUUAUUACUUUCACACCUGCAACUUGCAUUUAAGUUUCAAAAUGGAUGAACUUCUUUCAAGUUCUGCGUGAUAUUUACUGUAUUCUGCAAGUAACACUUCUGUAAACCCAUCCUGUUAUUGAGGCUAAUGUUACAUACUUCACACCCACCAAGAUACUGUUUGAUUUCUUUGUUGAAAAAGGUUUAUGCCCCCCACCAUCACCACCACCACGUCCCUGAUGAAAUGCAUUGUGGGAAAUUAUUUAUGGUCCAUCACUGCAAAUGAAACUGAUUUGUACUAAACAGCAUUAGAAUAAACAUACAUGAUAUUAAACUGGAAUGAACUUUCUUAAUGUUCGCAUUGGAGGUGCUGAGCUUUGUAUAUUUUAUCCAUCCUCGUUUUACAGGGUUCCUUUUGUGUGCAUCAUAGUUCUUAAUUUAUUGGCAUUAAUGCAGAAAAUGUUUUUAAAUUGUCGUUUUACUUCUGCAAUGCAGCUUUGGGUUCUCAUGUUGCAUAAAAAACAGAUUCAUGAUCAAAGGAGAUAUUAAAGAAACAAUUAAAAUUAUUGAAAAUGAUGCUCUUUAAAUCCA